rnacentral:rRNA from 1 species
UACAGAGGUCUCAAGCGUUGUUCGGAUUCAUUGGGCGUAAAGGGUGCGUAGGCGGCGCGGUAAGUCGGGUGUGAAAUCUCGGGGCUUAACUCCGAAACUGCAUUCGAUACCGCCGUGCUUGAGGACUGGAGAGGAGACUGGAAUUUACGGUGUAGCGGUGAAAUGCGUAGAUAUCGUAAGGAAGACCAGUGGCGAAGGCGGGUCUCUGGACAGUUCCUGACGCUGAGGCACGAAGGUCAGGGGAGCAAACGGG